GUGAGGAAUAUUGGUCAAUGGGCGGGAGCCUGAACCAGCCAAGUCGCGUGAAGGAAGAAGGAUCUAUGGUUCGUAAACUUCUUUUGCAGGGGAAUAAAGUGCAGGACGUGUCCUGUUUUGUAUGUACCCUGAGAAUAAGGAUCGGCUAACUCCGUGCCAGCAGCCGCGGUAAUACGGAGGAUCCGAGCGUUAUCCGGAUUUAUUGGGUUUAAAUGGUGCGUAGGUGGUUUGAUAAGUCAGCGGUGAAAGUUUGCAGCUUAACUGUAAAAAUGCCGUUGAAACUGUCGGACUUGAGUGUAAAUGAGGUAGGCGGAAUGCGUGGUGUAGCGGUGAAAUGCAUAGAUAUCACGCAGAACUCCGAUUGCGAAGGCAGCUUACUAAGCUACAACUGACACUGAAGCACGAAAGCGUGGGGAUCAAACAGGAUUAGAAACCCGAGUAGUCC
rnacentral:rRNA from 1 species